CCCGGCUGCAAGCAGAGGAGAGCGGCCUCGAGGAGAGGAGCAGCCCGAACGCCCGGCGGGCAAACGCGGGGGCAGUCCACAUGCUGCACCGCGGAGGGGCUCUGAAGCGCCUUCGCCACGGAAGAGGCGCCAAGAGAGUCAGAAGGGAGGAAACCUUCACUAGAGAGGGAGGUCCAUAAUUACCACUGAGAAGGUCCUGUCUGUCAUCUCCACCAGUCGCACCUGUGAAGGAAGUGGAACCAGCCUCCCCAGAAGAUCUUAACAUCCACACUGGUUCAUAGAGCGAGAUACGUUCAGUCAGGAGCAACUUGAGUCGCUUCUGGAGUGAGAGAAUUGGCCGCCUGCAAGGACAUUGCCCAGGGGAUGCCCGGAUGUUUUGAUGUUUUUACCAUCCUUGUGGGAGGCUUCUCUCAUGUCCCCGCAUGGAGCUGGAGCUGAUAGAGGGAGCUCAUCCGUACUCUCCCCGGGUGGGAUUCGAACCUGGCAGCUUUCAGAACUACAACCUGGAGAGAUGCUGCUUAGAGACUUCACCCCAUCACCUCAAGCCGGUUUACUGAGAACACCCUCAGGGCUUGAUAGCUGCCUUCCAGAGUUUCAGAGAAUCAUGCUCCACAUGUCCUGGGAGAAGAUCAUGAACUUCAAAAAUGACUUUUAAGAAGAAUGAAUUUAACGACAUGCUGAAUACAUUCAUUACUAUGCAAUGCUUUGAGAUCGAGAGGAUCAUCCUACAAUUGCUCCAUCAUGAAUGGUUGAUGAAUAUAAUUGUGUUCAAUCUUC